rnacentral:rRNA from 1 species
GGUGAGUAAUGUCUGGGAAACUGCCCGAUGGAGGGGGAUAACUACUGGAAACGGUAGCUAAUACCGCAUAACGUCGCAAGACCAAAGAGGGGGACCUUAGGGCCUCUUGCCAUCGGAUGUGCCCAGAUGGGAUUAGCUAGUAGGUGGGGUAACGGCUCACCUAGGCGACGAUCCCUAGCUGGUCUGAGAGGAUGACCAGCCACACUGGAACUGAGACACGGUCCAGACUCCUACGGGAGGCAGCAGUGGGGAAUAUUGCACAAUGGGCGCAAGCCUGAUGCAGCCAUGCCGCGUGUAUGAAGAAGGCCUUCGGGUUGUAAAGUACUUUCAGCGGGGAGGAAGGGAGUAAAGUUAAUACCUUUGCUCAUUGACGUUACCCGCAGAAGAAGCACCGGCUAACUCCGUGCCAGCAGCCGCGGUAAUACGGAGGGUGCAAGCGUUAAUCGGAAUUACUGGGCGUAAAGCGCACGCAGGCGGUUUGUUAAGUCAGAUGUGAAAUCCCCGGGCUCAACCUGGGAACUGCAUCUGAUACUGGCAAGCUUGAGUCUCGUAGAGGGGGGUAGAAUUCCAGGUGUAGCGGUGAAAUGCGUAGAGAUCUGGAGGAAUACCGGUGGCGAAGGCGGCCCCCUGGACGAAGACUGACGCUCAGGUGCGAAAGCGUGGGGAGCAAACAGGAUUAGAUACCCUGGUAGUCCACGCCGUAAACGAUGUCGACUUGGAGGUUGUGCCCUUGAGGCGUGGCUUCCGGAGCUAACGCGUUAAGUCGACCGCCUGGGGAGUACGGCCGCAAGGUUAAAACUCAAAUGAAUUGACGGGGGCCCGCACAAGCGGUGGAGCAUGUGGUUUAAUUCGAUGCAACGCGAAGAACCUUACCUGGUCUUGACAUCCACGGAAGUUUUCAGAGAUGAGAAUGUGCCUUCGGGAACCGUGAGACAGGUGCUGCAUGGCUGUCGUCAGCUCGUGUUGUGAAAUGUUGGGUUAAGUCCCGCAACGAGCGCAACCCUUAUCCUUUGUUGCCAGCGGUCCGGCCGGGAACUCAAAGGAGACUGCCAGUGAUAAACUGGAGGAAGGUGGGGAUGACGUCAAGUCAUCAUGGCCCUUACGACCAGGGCUACACACGUGCUACAAUGGCGCAUACAAAGAGAAGCGACCUCGCGAGAGCAAGCGGACCUCAUAAAGUGCGUCGUAGUCCGGAUUGGAGUCUGCAACUCGACUCCAUGAAGUCGGAAUCGCUAGUAAUCGUGGAUCAGAAUGCCACGGUGAAUACGUUCCCGGGCCUUGUACACACCGCCCGUCACACCAUGGGAGUGGGUUGCAAAAGAAGUAGGUAGCUUAACCUUCGGGAGGGCGCUUACCACUUUGUGAUUCAUGACUGGGGUGAAGUCGUAACAAGGUAACCGUAGGGGAACCUGCGGUUGGAUCACCUCCUUACCUUAAAGAAGC